GGUAGAGCCGAAUUUAAUUAUUGGCUAGGUAAGCGUCCAGAAUAAGAAGAGUAGUUUUUUGGAGGCCUCAAGCAAUGGAAAAUGAAAAAUCGCUGAGGAACAGCUUGAACUAAGAGGAAGUGAAGUAAUACUUCGCCAUCACAUCUUUUUGACAUCCAUUUUCUGGGAAAUUUUACAGUGAAAAGAACUCAAAACUUUUGUACUAAAUUCUCCUCUAGAUCGUUUAAAGAAAAAUGACAUAUCUCCCAAGCAAACAAGUAUAUCUAACUUCCAUGUAUAGAUAAGGACAGCAGAUAGACAUAUGGCUGGAUGCACCAGAAGAAGCAUAUAAUAAUCCAUGUUGAUCCUGAUUCCCACAUAUUAAUGCUGGAAGGCCCUAAAAUUUGAUCUCUUGAUGAGUUGGAAACAACAAAGAUAUGAUAAAAUGGCCACAGGGAAAAGCAUAGGAUCUCCAUCCAGGAAACCAAUGCCUGGUUCAUUGUCAGACGUCCAGCUCCACAUUUGUGGAGUACCAUUCUCCUUGAAUAGGGUAAGAAUUGCUAUCAUCCUCCAACACUAAAAUCUUCUACUGUAAGUGCAUGUUAUUCCUGUGUCGUGUAAGACACCAAGGGGAUGGUUGGGAGCCCUCCGCCCUUUUUUUGUCUUUUCUGAGUGAUAAGGAGAGAAAAAAAAUUGGGUCAAAAGAAAAUGCCAUCGGGGGCCCCUAUGUUGCUCGGACUCUUCAAAAAUGUCAAUUGGUGCGUGUUGGAUCCUCCAAAAGUAAUACAUUUUUGCAGGAUCCGAUACGGGUGCGGCAACAUUUUUGAAGAGUUGGGCCCAAUCAGAGUACUUCCGAUACAGAUGCUUACAAAAAAGAAAAAAGAAGUUGUCCAUAGACUCUUAAUAUGUCAUGCCCUCAAUUAUUUCAGCUUUCCUAAGAAGCUGGUUUGUGUUGAACUUUUGGCUGCAAGAUCUGCAAAGCUAGCUGCAUUGCUGAAAGAGAAUCCUGAAGAUGAUCUUUCUCAUUUGCUAGGAGACAUUCCCACUGAUUCUCAAACUUUUGAGCUUGUAGCAAGGUUCUGCUAUGGCUCUGACAUAAACCUGUCACCUGAAAAUGUUAUUAAAGUCCUUUGCCUUGCUCACUAUCUUGGAAUGUCCGAGAUUCACAGCACCAACAACCUCGUGAAGAAGGCUUGUUUCUAUUUUCAAAAUAAUAUCCUUCCUAGCUGGAACAAGUGUAUUAAAGCCCUCAAAUCUGCAGAAACCAUUCUUCAACAAGCCGCGGAUCUUUCCCUGGUUGAUGCCUGUGCAGAGUCCAUUAUCACCAAAGUACUGCAUGAUCCAGGUCUUCUUUGAGAACCGAUUAGGAAUGUAACAAUAACGGAUGAUGAUAGUGAGAACGAUGAAAAUUCGUAUAAGCCAAAUGUGAGGAGGAGGCUCUUUGUUCUUGAUUGGAAAUCAGAGGACUUGACACUACUUUCCAUUGCUCUCUACGAGCCUAUUAUUCGUGCAAUGGUUCAUCGGAAAGUCCCUCUGGAAUAUGUGGUAUCAUCUCUGUUUCAAUAUCUCAACAAAUGGGUUUUUCCGGGCACUAAAGGAGAAGAUCCAUCAACUUAUGAGAUGAAUUCUCAGAGAGAGAUCAUUGAGGCAGUGGAGAGUGUUGCCUCAAGAAAGGGGGCUGAUCCCGUGUUCUUUUCUCUCUCAAAUGCUGCAAUCCGCGAUAAUCUUGGAAGCUAAUACUGACUGCAAGAGUGGAUUGUAAAUUAGAAUAGGAAAGCAACUAGACCAGUCAACUUUCAAGGACCUCUUAAUACCUGCACAAGGAUAUGCAAAAGAAGAGCAAUAUGAUACUGGAAGUGUGAAAAGGAUAUUGAAGAAUUUCUACGGCAAUUACCCAAGCACGGAUACAUCAGGCCUAAUCUUGGUAGCAGAACUUGUUGAUGACUUCUUGGCUGAGGUUUCUAGUGACAUAGAUUUGAAGUUGAACACGUUCUUAGAACUACCAGAGUUAUUACAAGCAGCAUCAGGAGGAACUAAUAGAAAUCUGAUGGAAUGUAUAGAGCAAUUGAUAUAUACUUAGACAAGCACAGAUAUCUAACUGACUGGGAAAGGGAGGAAGUUUGCAGGGUGUUGGAAUGCAGCAAAAUGUCGCCUGAAGCUUGUGAGCAUGCUUCACAGAACGAAAAGCUACCAGUUCGAGUAAUGGUACAGAUUUUAUUUUCUGUGCAGUUGAAGUUGAAGGAUACUGUGGCCAAGAGAAUACAGGGGGUCUCUGAUAACCGAUUGUUGAAGCUGGAAGAAGACCAGGAAGAUGCAAGGGGGACAACCAGCAGUGAAGAGGAAAUGAUUAAAGCAGAGAUGGAAAAGAUGGGAAGCAAGGUACUGGAGCUGGAGAAAGAAUGUGAUUUGAUGAGAAGGGAAAUUCAGAGAGGUAGUUACCAGCACAAGAUUCAAAAGGGGAAAACAAGCAUGUGGAAAGAAAUGAAAGAGGAAGCUUGGUUGUAUGACUAACAUGUAUGAGACAAAUUGCCAUGUGAAGAAGAAAAAGUUCAUCCAAGAUAGAAGAUAUCUUCUUCUCUUUUAUCCAAGAUAGAAGUCUGUGCUUUCAUGUUUACAUUUUAUGCCAAGUGAUAGGGACAAACUGAAUAAUUAAGUUUAAAUUUACAUUC